ensembl:miRNA Gm44474 predicted gene, 44474
ACAGACAUUUGUUUUCUUCUGCUUCUAAAGGCUGGAAGUCCAAGAUGAAGGUGCUGGCAAAUUCAGUUUGUUGAGGGGCCAUUUCCUGCUUUGCAGAUGACAGGAUUCUUGUUGUAUCCUCACCUGG